GCGUACGAGAUUAUGCGCAUGCAUUCUCACCUCGGUCAUUGUUUUGAUAGACAUGCAACGAGUAGUGUGAGAGAGACGCUCACUCUCUGGGAACGGUGUACAACAGUAUGUUGAGCAUUUCAACCCUCGUGAGGUGAAUGUGAUGUUCUGUAGGAGCUGAUUGUUACGCUCUUCACCAAUCAGCUGAUUGAACUUCUAUUCAAUAUGAAGGGAAGGGCAAAAAAGAUAAAAUUUGAAUUGAAGACAAUAAAUUGUUUUCAGCAAUAAAAGCUGCUGUCAUGAAAUGGGACCCAGCUGCUACAGAGGCCCAAAUAAAGUCUGCUGCAUCUGAUCAUCUGAAACAUGCCCCGGGAGAGUCAGGGGUGGUGGCUGUAAAUGAAUAUAUUGUGGACCUUAUAGCAGCCACAUUUUGUUAAUUGUUUACUGUUUUAACAAAAUUUUAUAGCACUUUUAUUUAUAACUUUACUGUUCAGGUUUUAAGUUGUAUUGUGUUAAUUUAUACUUGACUGUUCAGGUUUUAAGUUGUAUUGUGUUAAUUUAUACUUGACUGUUCAGGUUUUAAGUUGUAUUGUGUUAAUUUAUACUUGACUGUUCAGGUUUUAAGUUGUAUUGUGUUAAUUUAUACUUGACUGUUCAGGUUUUAAGUUGUAUUGUGUUAAUUUAUACUUUACUGUUCUGGUUUUAAGCUUGGGUAAAAUUUGUAAUAAAAAUAUA